GGAGAGGUACCGAAGCGGUCAUAACGGGGCGGUCUUGAAAACCGUUAGGGCGCAAGCCUACGUGGGUUCGAAUCCCACCUUCUCCG
rnacentral:tRNA from 1 species